rnacentral:rRNA from 1 species
AAAGCACGACAAGGUUAAUCCGAGUGAUUUCUGCUAAAGGAAUCUUUUGUCAUUCUUAGAAACACUGUUGAAUAAGGGUUGGGCAAUUUCUGGUGUCACCCCCCGCGGUAAAACCAGCACCUCAAGUGUUCAGGAUGAUUAUUGGGCCUAAAGCAUCCGUAGCCUGCCCUGUAAGUUUUCGGUUAAAUCUGUAUGCUCAACAUACAGGCCGCCGGGAAUACUGCAGGGUUAGGGAGUGGGAGAGGUAGACGGUACUCGGGAGGAAGUGGUAAAAUGCUUUGAUCUCUCGAUGACCACCUGUGGCGAAGGCGGUCUACCAGAACACGUCCGACGGUGAGGGAUGAAAGCUGGGGGAGCAAACCGGAUUAGAUACCCGGGUAGUCCCAGCCGUAAACGAUGCAAACUCAGUGUUGCAUUGGCAUGUAGCCAAUGCAGUGCCGCAGGGAAGCCGUUAAGUUUGCCGCCUGGGAAGUACGUUCGCAAGAAUGAAACUUAAAGGAAUUGGCGGGGGAGCACACAAGGGGUGAAGCCUGCGGUUCAAUUGGAGUCAACGCGGGAGGAAUUGGCGGGGGAGCAC